UUCCCUAUGGGAGUGUCGCCACUCUGUUCUCUAGAAAACAUCAGAGCCAUAAUAAAUCAUUAUACUUUUACUUUCAUACUUAAGUACAUUUGAAGGUAAAUUUAGUUUAGUACUUUAGUGGAGGUAUUUUUACUUUUACUACUACUUUUACUGGAGUAAUAUUUUACCUUGGAUAUCUCUACUUCAACUCAGCUACAUGGAACAUUCACCUCACUUGCAUGUCUUUGGACUGUGGGAGGAAACCGGAGCACCCGGAGGAAAACCACGCGGACACGGGAAAGACCCGGGCUCUUCACCUGGGGAUUGAACCCAGGACCUUCUUGCCGUGAGGCGACAGUGCCAACCACUUAGCCACCAUGCCGUCCCACUUUAGAUGCAAAUGUACAAAUAAUAUACACAAUCAGAUCUUUUUGUCUAAUUGAGAUGGGUCUUUGUUUUUGUAUUUUAUAAUUUAUUGUUGGAGCACUCUGUUCCAUGUUGAGUAUAUAAAUAAAGCAAUUUAAAUAAUA